GUGCCAGCAGCCGCGGUAAUACAGAGGGAGCAAGCGUUGUUCGGAAUUACUGGGCGUAAAGGGCGCGCAGGCGGACUUGUAAGUCAGGCGUGAAAACUAUCGGCUCAACUGAUAGAUUGCGUUUGAGACUGCAGGUCUUGAGUACGGGAGAGGAAGGUGGAACUCUGCGUGUAGCGGUGAAAUGCGUAGAUAUGCAGAGGAACACCAGUGGCGAAGGCGGCCUUCUAGCCCGAUACUGACGCUGAGGCGCGAAAGCGUGGGGAGCAAACAGGAUUAGAUACCCUCGUAGUCC
rnacentral:rRNA from 1 species